ACGGGGGGUGCGAGCGUUGUCCGGAAUCAUUGGGCGUAAAGGGCGCGUAGGUGGCGGGACAAGCGUGCGGUGAAAGCCUGGGGCUCAACCCCGGGUCGGCCGUGCGAACUGUUUUGCUUGAGCACUGUAGAGGCAGGCGGAAUUCCGGGUGUAGCGGUGGAAUGCGUAGAGAUCCGGAAGAACACCGGUGGCGAAGGCGGCCUGCUGGGCAGUAGCUGACACUGAGGCGCGACAGCGUGGGGAGCAAACAGGAUUAGAUACCCUGGUAGUCCACGCCGUAAACGAUGGGCACUAGGCGCUUGGGGGAGCGACCCCCCGAGGGCCGUAGCUAACGCAUUAAGUGCCCCGCCUGGGGAGUACGGCCGCAAGGCUG
rnacentral:rRNA from 1 species